UACGGAGGGUGCAAGCGUUACUCGGAAUCACUGGGCGUAAAGAGAAUGUAGGCGGAUAGAAAAGUCAGAAGUGAAAUCCAAUAGCUCAACUAUUGAACUGCUUUUGAAACUUUCUAUCUAGAAUAUGGGAGAGGUAGAUGGAAUUUCUGGUGUAGGGGUAAAAUCCGUAGAGAUCAGAAGGAAUACCGAUUGCGAAGGCGAUCUACUGGAACAUUAUUGACGCUGAGAUUCGAAAGCGUGGGGAGCAAAC
rnacentral:rRNA from 1 species